UGGUGGAGCGAUUUGUCUGGUUAAUUCCGAUAACGAACGAGACUCUAGCCUGCUAAAUAGGCGACGGAUUUUCACGGUGCGGCUUCGGCCGUGCCUUCAACUGGCCCGGGAUGAUCGUGCCGGAUCAGGCCGUGUCGGUCGUCGGGGCAACUCGGCGGUCGGCGCGGUCCCGGUCGGUCGCUCGGGUCGCGUCCGUCGCGUCUCUUCUUAGAGGGACAAGCGGCGUCCAGCCGCGUGACAGUGAGCAAUAACA
rnacentral:rRNA from 1 species